rnacentral:lncRNA from 1 species
GGUUUUCUCCGGUUCGGGAGAGAGACGGAGUCCCGCUCUGUCACGCAGGCUGCCAGGCUGGCGUACAGUGGCGCAAUCUCAGCUCGCUGCAACCUCCACCUCCUGGGUUCAAGCGAUUUUCUUGCCUCUGCCUCCUGAGUAGCUGGGAUUACUGGCACACACCACCAUGCACAGGGAGAUAUGAGACAUCAAUCAAUAUAUGUAAGAUGUACAUCAGUUUCGUCUGGAAAGAUGGGACAACAUGAAGCAGGGAGGGGGCUCCCUGGUGACAGUUCCUUGUUCAAAAUGCCAAGAACCUGGAUGACUCAUAGUCAAGACCCUCCACCAGUAACAUAUAUUGGCGAGCCAGCCAGGAGCUUGGAACCCUCGGUGGACAGUGCCUAAGCACAGAGGCAACCACAGGUUUCUAACAGGGCCACUCUCUGGUGAAACUGAAAGGUUUCUGUGUGAAAGUGCCUGACCACCACUGCCCAAUUCAGACCACUACAGGAAACACUCCAUUUAUUCCACCUGACUUCCCACUUGGCUGCAUCCUCAACCAUUGAAAUGAAUUUGACCCUGAUAAUCUAAGGAGGAAACAUUUGAUAUUCUUUUGCAAUAAUACUUGGCCCCAGUAUUGUUUGGAAUCUGGAGUUUGCUGUUGAAUGGGAAAGCAGGAUGACGUUGCAUGUAUCCAGGCUUUGGUGCUGCUGUCCUAAGAAGGGUCAGGCCUAGUCAGCAUAUGGUGCUCUCCUUUGGUGCUAUUUGGCUCCAGUGUCUUUGGAGUCUGAGGAGGUUUGGCCUUUAAAAAUCAAACUGCCACCGGAACUGCUUUAAAAAUGUUUGGUUCACAGCCUUCACUGGAUUACCUAUUGGAGCAAACAAAGUGUAACCAUGUAAAACCUGUGAGCUUGUAUUGAUAUCUCAUGGCUAGAGUUCCAAGCGAAUGGGUCUCAUGAGAUCUGAUGGUUUUGAAAAUGGGAGUUGCCCUGCACAAGCUCUCCUUUUGCCUGCUGCCAUCCACAUAAGAUGUGAUUUGCUCUUCCUUGCCUUCCACCAUGAUUGUGAGGCCUUCCCAGCAUGUGGAAAUGGUCCAGCCUGCAAUAACUGAAGCCCCCAGACCUGGAACCUGAAGAUCCCAUCAGCCACUAAACCUGUGAACCUGUAGAAGACCUGAAGUACCUGUUUAAAAGGCAGCCAAAAGAUAAGUAAAUUCCUAUCAACUUUCCUUGGUGUCCUUCUUGUAUAUUUACUGUAAGCUGGAUAUAAUAGUAGCCAUUUUUAUAUUUUUACAAUUUAAUUGCUUUCUUCCAAAUGGAUUGAAUCACUUCUUUUAAAGUGUUUUAAUUAAUUUUUAUCUAUAGAACAAAAUAACAAAUAAGUAUUUUUUUUUUAUACCAUAAUGGUCACCCACAGCCUGUGUAUACUAAGACCAUGCAUACUGAUAAUCAGCUUUAUUUUACAAAAGAGUUUCGCUUUACCCCUCUGGUAAUUAAUGGAUUCUGGGUAUUUAUUAAAAACUUUAACACAAAGACUGUUAAAUACCACCAGUCCAGCUUUGGCAAGGCACUGUUGGCUUUGUUUAUCUCCAUCAUCAUCCAAACAGACUACCAAUCCUGAUCCCAGCCCAAUCUUGGGCCCUUGAAAAAAUAACUUAACAUCCUAACUACAAGGGAGAAACUCCUUUCAAAUUAAUGAACCUGGCUGACUUAUAUAGCCUUAAAAUUAUGGAAAUGACAAGGGUUACAAUGUCAGAAUGAGCAGUAAACCUUCCCCAGUCCUAUCAGAGCAAACUUUCUGGGGUUGCAUCCCCUCAGAAACCCAUUUGGGGCCCAAUCUCAAUGCACAUAUCAGUGCGCAAAGCACUAAAAUUCCAGGCAACACUUUGUAUUGAGAGAAGCCAAAAUUUUGGUCCCGCCCUGGGACAUCUAAAGUCACCAAUGUAACUACACCAUACAGAUUAAACCCUCACAUGAUCAUGUAAGCUAUGCAGUUACCCAAGCUGCAUCAUUUAGAAAACCUGUACAGUUUUUAUGGAAACCAUCCCUAGUCAAGGACACUUUAAAUAUAUAGUCUAAAUACCGUUAAGGUAGGCCCACUAGCUGUGUUCACAUUUUCCCUUGGCCACCUUACCAGGGACUUUAAUAACUUGGGAAAGUGAAAACAACAAGCUAACCCACAUGUUCACCAUAGAAAACAAUUUUGUCUUGAAAAACAAGGACUCUUUUUCCCGUGUGGGACCAGUUCCUACUUAUGUUUUACCAGCCAAUUGGACUGGAACCUAUACAGUUGUUUAUUUAGCCCCCGAAAUUAAUAUAGCUCCCAACAACCAAUCCUUCAUUAUACUUUUAACUGCAACCACCAGACACAAAUGAGCCAUCCAACUGAUACCACUUUCGGUAGAGCUAGGAAUAACAGCAGGAGUAGGAAUGAGAGUUAGCAGCCUUGCAGUUUCCCUAUCCUAUUACCAAUGCUUGUCCAAGGAUUUUAUGGAAAGCUUAGGUGACAUUGCCCAAAAGUAUCAUCACCUUACAAAAUCAGAUAGAGUCUUUGGCAGUGGUGGCUUUGUAAAAUAGAAGGGGACUGGAUCUCCUAAAUGCUGAAGAAGGUGGCUUAUGUCUUUUUCCUAGAGGAAGAAUGCUGUUUUUAUGUCAACCAAACAGGAUUAGUAAGGGAUGCCACCCAAAAACUAGCCGAUUGGUACCAUAAGAUAUGACAACAGCUGUCUGAGUCAUGGGGCGCCUAGUCAAAAUGCUAAUUUGGGGCUCACAUCUCCUUCCUCUGGCCAGUCCACUAUUAAUUAUUAUACUUGCCUUGGCUUUUGGAUCAUGUUUGUUAAAUCUUUUAACCAGAUUUAUUUCUUCUUGCCUAGAGACCAUUAUGAUAAUGCAGCAGGGCCACCAGUCAGUUUCAGAUAAUGAUGUCAACCCCGGCCACCAAGAAGUAACCUUGUCUCCACUAGACAGAGCAGGUUGCAGGAAUUUAGCCAAUUCAGAGGUCUUGUUCUCCAUAAUUUGGAAUUUUCCUUCGGAUUUGAUCAAGUUGGAUAGAGUUGGUCAAACCCAAUGGGAAAAAGAUGAAAACAACAAGAAACAGAAACAAACAGCAACAACAACAACAACAAAAACAAUGCAUUUAAUUAAAUGAAGAUGAGCUCAUGCUGGAGUAGGGUGGACUCUGAACCCAGUGGGACAAGCGUCCUUAUUAAGAAGAGGGAAAUCUGGACACACACAGAGCAGAGACCGCCGUGUGAAGAUGGAGGCAGAGAUCGGAGAGAUGCUGCCACACGCCACAAAUGCCUGGGGCUCCCAGAAACUACACGGAGCCUCCCCCAGCGGCUUCAGCAGGAGCAUGGCUCGGCCAACACUUUGAUCUUGGUCUUCCAGCCUCCAGAACGUUUUCCUAAAAUUCCCUUUUCCACUGGUGUGUGGUGCAAGAUGAGGCACAUUUUCCAUGGAUGGUGAACAGAGGGAGGAGCCUUUUGAUCACAACCAGGUCACCCCACUUCUAAGCCACUGUGCCUCCAGCCCCACAAGACUAAGGAGAGAGAGCGCAGCGUGGUGGAGAGUGAGCUGUGCUGGGACCAUUGUUUCCGUAACCUCGUUUUCUGUGUCCAGCUGACACACCUUCAAAGUGGCAUCAGGUCCUAAACUGUAGCUUGCAAUGUGCCUGUUUCCAGAAACCAAGGUGAAAGUGCUUUUAGACAGUGUUCCCAUGCAAGAGUCCCUUCCCAGCUUUUUUCUGGAAAUGCAUGUUUCUCUGAACUCUGAGUCCCAAGAAAAAUCACUUGAGACACCAAGAAAAUGGGGGAAGUGCUAAAAUUGUGUGGGAAUUCAAGCUUAACAAUAAACAUCAAGACAUUUUUGAUAAAAAUGAAUCCACUGACAUCGGGGAGGAGCAAGAGAACAGCACGCUGACACUGGGUCAGAGGCUAAGACCGACAUUUCUGGGAACCACUCCCGGAAGGGCACAGAGGAGACGCUUUCAGCCUCUCAUCAGCCAGCCUGGCCUGUAGCUGCUGCACGUUAUGAGUGUGUUCCUGGCAUGACUGCUUCUAACAGCGACCAUUUCAUUAAGUUUUUAAGUGCCUGGUAAUUGCUUGGUUAUGACCGGUGUCUGCUCCAUGGCAGCCUCUUCCUGAAGAAAUGCUGAGGCAGUGUCACGCUGGUGUCUGUCCUCCUUACAGAAUGCCUGAACAGUUCCAUUGACUCAAAGUGAAGAUCAAAAGAACCAAAUGACAGCAAUAGCCAAGUGUAAUCAUCAGUAACCCUGUGUUCUAUCCACAGUUAAAAGAAUAUUGGCAGAGAAACAGCCUUGGUGUUCCAGCAGGAGUGAAGAGGAACAGGAAAACGAGUGGCAGUAGCCCUGAAACAGCCACUUCUGGUGGUUGCCACUCACCUGAGGAUAGAUGGAGUCUCGUUCUGUCACCCAGGCUGGAGUGCAGUGGCGCAAUCUCGGCUCGCUGCAAGCUCUGCCUCCCGGAUUCCCGCCAUUCUCCUGCCUCAGCCUCCCUAGUAGCUGGGACUACAGGCGCCCCCCACCAUGCCCGGCUAAUUUUUGAUAUUUUUAGUAGAGACAGGGUUUCACUGUGUUAGCCAGGAUGGUCUCGAUCUCCUGACCUCGUGAUCCACCUGCCUCGGCCUCCCAAAGUGCUGGGAUUACAUGUGUGAGCCACCACACCCGGCCCCAUUUUUAAUACGUUUUUUAAAGAUGCAUAUAAAAUGCAUUACCCUCUGGAAGAUUCCAGUAACUUACUGAAGCAAGUUUCUCCUCUACAUAUACCUAUUUCUGCCAUGAGUAACUGUUCAUUUUCAGUGAGUCAUUUGAGUUUCUGUUAUUCAGGUAUACAGAGUUCCUGUUGUCUUUUUAGUCAACAAAGUUUAACAAAGACCAUAAUAAAGAUGGCUUUCAGCAGCUCUGUUAUUGGGAAGGGUUGUAUUCAUGUGAAGAAAGAAAUUAUUUUAUUUUAUUUUUAAGUUUUAGUAGAGGGGGGGUUUUGCUAUGUUGGUUAGGCUGGUCUCGAACUCCCAUCCUCAAGUGAUCCACCUGCCUCGGUCUCUCAAAGUGCUGGGAUUACGGGCAUGAGCCACUGUGCCUGGACAGUAAUAAUAUUUUUUAAAAGGCUGACAUCAGCAGAUCAGCUAUUCUGGAAAGAUUUUUAAACACUCAGAGGUUUUUUUGUGUUUGUUUGUUUUCUUUUCUUUUCUUUUUUAGAGGCAGGGUCUUGCUCUGUCGCCCAGGCUAAGGUGGAGUGGUGCAAUCAUAGCUCACUACAGCCUCAAACUCCUGGGCUCAAACAAUCCUCACACCUUUCAUACCUUAGGCCCCUGAGUAGCUGGGUGGGACUACAGGCAUGCAUCACCAUGCUUGGCUAAUUUUUAAUUUUGUAUAGGUGGGGUCUUGCCAUUUGCCCAGGCUGGUGUCAAACUCCUCAAGUAAUCCUUCUGCCUCGGCCUCCUAAAGUGCCAGGAUUAUAGGCCUGAGCCACUACACACAGCCCGGAGUUUUUAAAAAAUACUCAAUUAAAAUGCUUCAUUUAAGUGUAUGUCUCUAAGAAAAUUUAAUAAUUGAUUAAAUAUUGUUGAAUAGACUGAAAGCACAACAUCCAAGCACAUGAAUUAAGCAAAUAAUGCAAGCAUAGCUCCCACACUCCACAAAUGUUUUCUAGUCAUUCCAAAGCCAUUCUUUUUAGAGGAUCUUUAAGAAAAUGCUUGGCUCUCAUCCGAUUAUUAUACAAGAGAUUAAGAAUUUACUGAGUUUACAGUUCUUUCUAUGAAGGAAAGAAUGAGGUCUACACCCAAAAGAAACAUUGGGAUUUUCAUUUAAGUAAAGCUGUAUUCUCAUUUAAAAUGGUACUAGUGCUCUUGUUGGCAACAGACACAUGAAGCAAAAUUUUCCUUUUACAUUUGAAUUUCAACUGCAUUUAAAGUGUUAUAAAUACCAUGACUACAUAAGCUAAGGGAAUGAAUGUAUUAACUCUGAUGCAGUCUGUCAGGUUUUAACAGUAGUGAAUCUUGGGAUCGGUACAUCUCAUUCCAGUAUAGCUAUGGUAAAUGACAUAGAGAUCGCUGAAUUGUUGUAUUUCCAGGACUUUUCAAAAGUGACUAUUAAGGUUGGCUGUGGGAUCUAGCAGGUUAUUGUCCUAGAACACUUGUGGCCUUCUCCUAAAACAGACUGGGAAAAUUCUGGUUCUUUAUUCACUGACAUCUCAAAGGGCAAAGAGGGAGGCACCAUGACAUUCUGCAGUUGCAGGCCUCUCAGGAUGAGACUGUAUUUUUCCAUACAGCAAUGUUGAUUUGAUCUGGCCUAAUUCUCCGAUUGAUGUGGUGAGAGGCAGGACUACUUGGGAAUGUAUUCACUGUGCCUGAUUUCUCUCUGGGCAAUUUAUUUGGUCAUCAAUCUUUUUAUCCUCCUGACAUUUGAUUUCUAGAUAUUGGCCCAAAUUCCAUAAGAUAGGAAUUUUUGUUCUGAAUUUUAAUAACAUAUGUAUUUUAAUUAAUAGUAUAUUUUAAAAUAAAAGUAACACGACAAAAAGAAAAAACAAAGACAAAAAAGUAACCUAAGAAUAUAUGCUCAAAAGUGCCAAAAAUACAAAAGACUACAGAAUUUUUAAAAUAGAAGCUUUUUGUUCAACUUGCUGCUCUUCUUCCCACUUCUUCAAUUCCAUUUCUUUUCCUAUAGGUGAUCAUGGCUAACAUUUUGGUGUUUGUCUUUCCAAAGUGUAUAGUUAUAGAUCUGAAUAGAAAUGUAGAUACAGAGAUAUCAAAGAUGAGCAUGGGCUAAGCACUCAACAAUAAACUACGUUGGGUCUAUUUUUCAAAGUUACUCUCAAAACAAGAAUACAGAUUGUCCAUUAAACAUACUGGAAUUUUAAUACAUUCUUUUUUUUCCCCCAGAACAUUUCUGAUUUCAUAUAUUCUGGCAUGUUUCCUGCCAUGUGGCAAACCAUAAGCUGAAAGAGAUAUAAAUAUAAAUAACACUAUGUCUAACAAAAUUUGCUCAGAAUAUGCUAAAGCAUUAGUAUAAAUGUCUACAUCUUAAGUCAGAGCUAAAGAACAAGUUUCUCUCAGUAAAUCAAGGAAAGCCAGGGGAAAAGACCAUAGAGAAAAAGGAUAUGGGUGCCUGUAUGAAGCAGGGGAGGUUUUUGACUCCAGUGCACCUAAUUAGCAAAUAAGUAUCAUUCAUCUGUGCUGUGGUAAGCACUGCAGUAUGCAUAAAUAGAAGGUGUGAUACCUGCCUCCAAAGGGCUUACCAUCUACUGAGAAAUCCGACUAAUCAGACAGGAAAGACUCAGAUAAUGAAGGCUUGCAUAAGAGCCUGAAUCUGAUAAGGUAAUGAACAAAAGACAGCCUCUACAGGUUUUUAUAGAUAGAAAUGAGAUGAUAAAAUCAAAUUUAAACAAUGUAUCUUAACUCCCUUCCGGCCUUUCAUUUCCAUUCCAUGAAUGCUACCCUGGCUUAGGCUUUCAUGACUUUGCCUAUUUGCAGUGACCUUGUAUUCAGCACUCUGCCAUCUCUCCCACUACUUCCUCCCAAGCCAUCCUGAACACAGGCCACAUGUUUGAUUUUCUAAUCGUACACAAGGGAACGUCUCUGCUCAAAAGCCAAAAAUGACUCUUCUUUGGCCACCAAAUAAUCUGAACUUUUUGGUGUGAAACUCAAGGCCCUGCCAGAAACAAUAUUAAUCUCCUUCCAGACUGUCUCCCAUUUCCUAAUAUUAACCCCUUGCUCUGUUGAAAUUGAAGCCAUUUUCCAAAGCCACCUCUGUGAUGUCCUUAUGUAAUUCCCGCCCUCUUCUUGUCCUCCCCUGCAACCCUAUCUCCAUAGAAAAGCAGUCAGAAAAACCACCCUAGGAAUUGAUGCAGUAAUCCAGGAGUGAGAUGAGGAUGGGAGGGAGAGGGUGAGCAUGUGGGGAUGAGGAGGAGGGUGGGACACAGGGAGUAGCCACAGACCUUAAUGACUGAUGGCAGAUAGGGUGUGAAGGAGAGAGGUGAGUCAAAGGUAACUUAUUUUCGGUUUUAGGCAACAAAUACAAAUCUUUCUCAAUAACUACUCAUCCCACAUCCUUGUGGCUAUUGGAGGUUGAUAUUUAUUUCAUACUGCCUGUAUAACCUGGGACCAUAUAUAAUUAAUGAUGAUUACUCUGUAUUCUAGAUCACGAAUAUAUAUAUCUAUAUAAAUAUAUACAAAUAUAUAAAUACAAAUAUAUAUAUAUAUAUAUAUAUAUUUACCUUAAUGCAGGCACAACCAAAUACUUUACUUUUGGAGCCAGAUGUCUUUAAGAUACACUCUAAAAUAUUAUUGUGGAAUUAGAUACACUGCUUUCCACGUAAACCAUUAAUAGAUACAUUGAAUAAGAAUCUUUAUUUCAUUCCCAGUGUGGUUUGGAGUAUAAGACUUAGGAAAGUGUCUGUGAAACCUACAGUGAGAAAUUCCACUGGGUCUUGACAGCUGGAGUGAGCACUCAAAUGUGCCCAGCACUUUUCUCUAGCUCCCUUCUCUGCUUGAGCUGUGGUCUGCUUUCUCCUUCUCUGUAGCUCAGAUCAUCUUCCUCCACUUCUCAGCCCACAUGUCUAACGUGGCUGGGACCAGCUCAGAGUGUUUCAAAUGUGUAGGUGCUCGGAGAGAGAGAGACCCAACCCUCUUAGACUCAGGUACACAUUCUCAGGGAAGAAAACUGGAACCAGUAGAAAUAUCAGAUCCCUAUGUUCCCUGACGAGUGCUUCCUUCUCUAAGAAGAAAAACCUACUAAGAAGACAAAUUACAGCUGGAAGGUUGUUUGGUAAGCGUGGAAUCACCUAUCUAAUCUCCCAGCAAGUCUUAAUUGCUCUACCAUAAAAAAAAAGCAACCCAAAUCCAUCCUUUUCCCAGCUUCACUCCCUAGUCCAAAGCCACCAUCCACCCUUGUCUAAACCUCUGCAGGACUGUCUUUGCUUAUUUCUUUUCUUUUCUUUUUCUUUUUCUUUUUUUUAAGCGGAGUCUCACUCUGUCACCCAGGCUGGAGUGCAGUGGCGCGAUCUCGGCUCACUGCAAGCUCUGCCUCCCGGGUUCACGCCAUUCUCCUGCCUCAGCCUCCCGAGUAGCUGGGAGUACAGGCGCCCGCCACCAUGCCCAGCUAAUUUUUUUGUAUUUUUAGUAGAGAUGGGGUUUCACUGUGUUAGCCAGAAUGGUCUCCAUCUUCUGACCUCGUAAUCCACCCACCUCAGUCUCCCAAAGUGCUGGGAUUACAGGCGUGAGCCACCGCACCUGGCCCUGUCUUUUCUAAUUUCUUAACUAUCAUUUCUAUCCCCUUAGAAUUGAUUCUCCACUCAGCAUGCAGAAUUAUCCCUUUGAAAAUCAGAUUAUAUUCCUACCUAAACCACCCCCAAUAGCUUGUGACCUCUUAGAAUCUAGAUUCCUUAACAUGGCCUCAAGGGCCCACGUGACCCAGCCCCUGCCUGUCUCUCUACCUCAUCUCCUACUGCUCCUGCUUUUGUUCCUUCCACUCUAAUCACUUGACCUCCUGACCUCAGUCAUGCUAAUAAACUCAUGCCUCAUUUAGAUUUAUUUUCCUAGUGGAAGAAAAUGCAUUGAUCUGUGAACACAAAUACAUGGUUUAUCUGUUACAGUUCUCAUUGCAUGUCAACAAACUGACAUUCUGAUGUGUACAUCCAUCUCUUAUGAGUCUGCUUAGUGUGAAUCUGCCCCCUCUGGUAGUACUGACAAGAUUGUGUUUCUCAGCCCACAGAGCUAAGACACAGACUCAUGAGACCCAGUCUCUGUCUAUACCACUAGAGUUCUACUGCCCCUGAAUGGCAUUGCCUGCACAGACAGCUGGCCUUCCUCAGCAGACACACAGCCUUUGUACCAUAUAACUCUUCAGACUUGCUAUGAUGUACCAAUGUCUUUCCUUGAAAUGCUCUUCUGAAAAUGAUAAAUGCUAAAACUGAUUACAAUGCUAUUGAAAGUGGAUGAGCAAGUUGAUCUGCUGAGAUGUGAAAACAAAUUCUAUUUUAAUUUUUAAUCUAAAAUAUUAGAAAGAAUUUUGUUUCCUAUACUUUGCUAUAUUUAGUAAAUAUACACUAAUAUAAGAAUUUUGCUUUACUAAAACAGUAGAACCCUCAGUUAGCCAGGCAGUCAUCAUCUGUCACAUAAAAGGUGUCCUGAGGAGGAAUGGGAGUGCCUCCCCUGGGGAAGAGGCUGAUGGUGGCUCUGGCUCUCAGUCAGUCGCUUUCCUUAUCUUGGUAUUUACUGUCAUUUAUCUGGGCUUAGCUAAACAGAUUUAUAGAGAAUUAACUCUCACAAAAUGGGAACAUAAUUUAAAAGAUUUCUGCAAAGAAUUGGACAGGAACUCUUGUCAAAAUUGUAAGCAGAAGAAAAGAAAAAAAGAAAGGGACAGAGCCGACAUUUCUCAUACUUCUGGUACAAGCUCCUCAUCACAUUCAUUGUGUUGUAAAAAUAAUGGUGAUCUAGUAACAUCUGACAAGGUCAGCCAAAAUGAUACAUAUAAGAAUUUAGCUCUCCACCUAGGAGGGCUAUUAGCAAUAAAAUUUCCAUCUACUAUAACUUAUAAUUAACUUUGACCUAUAUGUGUAUUUCCCUUGAGAUUGGCCAAUGAUUGAUUGAAACUACCACAAUUAAUGACAGAUAAAAUAGCUUUUUUAUUUUAAAAUUUCUAUUUUGUGGGUAUUAUAGAAUGUAUUUUAUAUAUUAAUAUACAUAUAAUUAUAUACUAUUAUAAUCAUAUAUUAAUAUUAACAUAUAAUUGUGUGUGUUCAAAAAUUUUUAAUGGCACAAUCAAAAAACUUUAAAGACCACUGGAUUAAAAGAUGGUAUUUAGGGCCCAGCACAAUGACUCAAGUCUGUAGUCUCAGCACUUUGGGAAGCUGAGGUGAGGGGAUCGCUUGAGCCCAGGAGAUCAAGACCAGCCAUGGGCAAUAUGGCAAAACCCCAUCUCUACAAAAAAUACAAAAAUUAGCCAGAUGUGUUGCAACUGUAGUCCCAGCUAUUCAAGAAACUGAAGUGGGAAGAUCACUUGAGCCUGCAAGGUCGACGCUGCAGUGAGCCAUGAUUGCACCACUCCAGCCUGGGAGACAGAGCAAGGCCUUGCUUCAAAAAAUAAAAAUAAAAGAUGACAUUAAGAAGAAAUCUGAUCUCAUUGUCUUUAUUAUCAAGUGAUUGAAGGCUAUAAUCAUUAUUUAAUAAUCUUGUAGAUAAUGAUUGUACUUGAAAGUGGGCUAUUAAUAACUAGAUAUAUCUAGAGCACCAAGGUUUUACAAUUGUUAGAAAUUUGAGAAGCAGCACCCAGUAGUGACUUAGAGUCAGACUGCAUGGCUGAAUCUCUGCUUCAGUCAUUGCUAACUACAACCUGGGGCAAGUUAGUUGACCUACUAUGCCUGUUUCCUCACUGUAAAAGGAGAAUAAUAUCAGUACUUUCCAUAUAUGACUAUUUUCAGGAUUAAAUGAGCUAAUACAUUUAAGAAUUUAGGCCAGUGCCUGGCAUUUCAGAAGUGCUCAAUGAAUGUUAACUAAUAUUAACCUGGCUUUGGUUAAAUUUGAAAAAACAAACACAAAAACACAACUUUGUGUAGGUAACUUUGUUACCUACUGCCCCUUGCUGGCCAACCUGGGUCAGUACACUGCCAUCUAUGUGGGGAAGCUAAAUAAAUAAGUGCUUGGAGUAAGGAAAGAUUUUCAGCGUUGAGGGUAAUAUCAAUGCUAAACUUAUGAAUAUUUUUGCAAAAUAGUCUUGAGAAAAAUCAAUUGUCAUGAAAUUAAGUAAUUAGCAAGAAGUAUAGGAAGAGAAAUUAAAUAUCUGUAACAAUAAUUAAAUAAUAAGCACAUUUUAGAUUCUUAAGAGCAGUUGAAAAGCAAGACAUUUUAAAUUGCAGUGCUCUAAAAUAGGACCCUUGAGAAUUUAUGGUGUAAUAGAAUAUGAUUUGCCAGGAAAAGCAACUUGCUCCCUGAAAUGACCAAGUAUGUAUUUCAAGUUCUGCCUAGAUGUUUGAGGGGUGGGAGGAGGUAUUAUCUUCUGUAGGGAGACCCCCUGAAACUACUGCUACAGAAUAAAAGAUGAAAUGCUCCUGGUUAUUGUAAAUACAAAGUUGCAUGCAGGAUUGUGUAAAGACAAUGCCAGGUUGGGCUGCCAGAAUGAGCCAACAGCGCGUGAUGUGCUUCCCCCUGCAGAGAGCCUAUGAACAGACGUGCAGUCAGGGAGGUUUCACAUCACCAAGAUUCCUAUCCCAGAAAAGCAGAUGUUCAGAGCUCUGGGAAUGGAAUGCAACGCUUGUGGAGAGCCUAUAAGCAGAUGCAUGAGGGGCACCUGUUCAUAUGGAUAAGAUAGGGCUACAAACACCCUCAUCUUGCCAUGGCUCUUCUAGGCCUCUUUAGGGUUAAGGCAUACUCCCUUCUGAGAAUUUCUGGUCUAACCGGUUGUCUAGCUUCACGUCCUGUUUCCAUGGAUUGUUUGUAACCAGCUUUUGCUGCAACAGUUACUGCUGAUUAAUAUCUUGCUAAUCAUAGGUUAUGGACAGACUGUGUUUCUGUUUCAAGGCUCUGUUAGAAAUGACUGAUGUAAAUUCUUAUCUCUGUAUACUGUACUUCUGCAUAUAGAUGUUAUGUUAAAGAAUUACUUCAUCUCCAUGUGACUAUCUCACCUCAUAAUCAAACGACCCUAAAUCCCUCACUAACCUACCCCUGACCUCACUAAACUUAAUAAUAAAUGCUGGUAUAUCCAGUGCAUUGGCGGCACCAC